CGGGGGGCUCGCUCUCAGCCCCGUCUCGGCACUGCCGAACUCCUGGCUUGCAGUGCAGCCCCUCAGGGUCACCCUGCAUGGCCCCGGUCUCGGCCCUCACGAAGGCUGACAGAUCUUCUAAAGGAGUGAAGAGCACAUCAAAAGAGACUCUUCCUGACUCUUCCUCACCAAGCAGUAUGGUCUCAUAAUUUGGCUGUCCAGAUGGAGAAUGGAAUCACAGCAAGGUGAAGAGACAGUCCCAAGGACUUGCCUUAGGUUAGUGGCAGAGCUAGGAACCUCUACGAGUAGCCCUGAUCAGCCUAGCAGAUAUUUAGCCCCAACAAAGCCAAGACUGUAAGAGCAUUUUUUUACCUAUUAAGAACAUUUUCCUACGCGUCCUGUUACUCCCCAGGAAGAAGGAGCUCCAGGCACAGGAGCCUGCAAGUGACUGGGCUGCAGGCAGUACCACAGAGUGGCCCUGGGCAGCCUCACCCCAUCGAGAGUGACCUGGACUUGAGGCUGCCAAUGCAGCUCUGCCACAAUCACACUCCUCACAAAUGUUGAAAUGCAAACCAGAAAAACCAAGCUGCACCUCUUUAUUUCUUGACAAGUACUUUAAAUAGAAAUACUCUGACCUAUUUUUUUUAAAUGUUACUCCUCUCUUGAUAUUGCCAUGUAGAAAAAGCUGUGUGUCACUCUUUGCAGAAGCCCUGUUCUCGAAGGCUUAGGGCUGGAUUCAGCCCAGCAGCCCUAUUCUGGUGAACAGCCACCCAGCGACACUGAAAGCAAGGGUUAUUUCACAAUGGCUCAGAGCAACCCUUUUCAAACCUUGAAGAGCACAACAACUCAAAUAAUAGUCACUGCCUGCUUUGCUCUUUUCAU